CCUUCUCCGCUCGUUCCUCUUCCCAUCGCGCCGAGCCUUCUUCUGCCCGAGCCGUCCUCGACGCCGGCACUUCUUCUUCCUCUCCUCUCUCGCGGACAAAAAGGGGCAGCCAAGGAGUCUCGAUUCUUCUCUUCGUCUCUGCCCCAAAGUCUCCUCCUCGCCUCUGCGCGGCGUCGAAGUCGUUUCCUCUUCCCCAUCUCUGCUAUCCCUCUCUGCCAAGCCUCUCCCGACACCUUCUCCCCUCUCUGUGCUCGUUGCCCUAGCUUCCAUACCCGAGCACCGUCCAACACCUACUGGCGUCGCCUUUCCUCUCCUUCCCUCUGCCCUAGCGGUGGCCAGCUGAACCCUAGAUCGUUGCUGGCGCACCUAUGCCCUAGAUCGCUGGAAGCAGAGAGCCCGAAUAGGCGAUAGAGAGCUGUGGAGAUCUAGCGGUGUGACUGAGAGCAGCAGUUCUGGUUUUGUUCUUAGCAAUAACUUCAUUGUAGCUUCGGCUAUGGAGCAUCGGUUGAUCAUCCGGAUUGAGGACUUUAACGCGAGACGAGCAUCUUGACGUUGGAUUUGGGUCGGAUUGGACCCUUCUAUUGGAGGCGGGUACCUUGACUUAUCUUUGAUAAUGUCAUGUUG